rnacentral:ncRNA from 1 species
CGAAAUUCGUUGAUGAGAACAAAGCCGGAUUUAUAUUUAUUUACAGAGAGCCUGUGGCUGGUGUGAACAGGCAAUAAGUGAAUCGGGAUAUCCUCUCUGAGAAGCAGGUUGAAAGAAAGAUUAGUAAACCUCGCCGGUAUCCCCCGUUACAGGGAUGGCAUAUGUCAGUAUGCGACAGAGUGUUGCAGAGAUUUUCUGCAGAAUCAGGGUGGUAACGCGGAUAGAAUUCGUCCCUCUU